GACGAACGCUGGCGGCGUGCUUAACACAUGCAAGUCGAGCGGAAAGGCCCUGCUCUUGUGGGGUGCUCGAGUGGCGAACGGGGGAGUAACACGUGAGUAAACCGCCCUUGACUUUGGGAUAACUUCAGGAAACUGGGGCUAAUACCGGAUAGGAGCUCCUGCUCCAUGGUGGGGGUUGGAAAGUUUCGGCGGUUGGGGCUGGACUCGCGGCUUAUCAGCUUGUUGGUGGGGUAGUGGCUUACCAAGGCUUUGACGGGUAGCCGGCCUGAGAGGGUGACCGGCCCCAUUGGGCCUGCGGUAGGGCCCAGACUCCUACGGGCGGCAGCAGUGGAGAAUAUUGCGCAAUGGGCGGAAGCCUGAUGCAGCAACGCCGCGUGCGGGAUGACGGCUUUCGGGUUGUAAACCGCUUUCGCCUGUGACGAAGAGUGAGUGACGGUAAUGGGUCAAGAAGCACCGGCUAACUACGUG
rnacentral:rRNA from 1 species